rnacentral:tRNA from 1 species
GGUUUGUUUCGGUGAAUUGCAAAUUUACUUCAGCUUAUAGCACAAGCCU